AUUGAACGCUGGCGGCAGGCCUAACACAUGCAAGUCGAACGAGUGGCGGACGGGUGAGUAAUGUCUGGGAACCUGCCCGAUGGCGGGGGAUAACUACUGUAAACGGUAGCUAAUACCGCAUACCAUCGGAUGUGCCCCGAUGGGAUUGGCUAGUAGGGGGGGUAACGGCUCACCUGGGCGACGAUCCCUAGCUGGUCUGAGAGGAUGCCCAGCCACACUGGAACUGAGACACGGUCCAGACUCCUACGGGAGGCAGCAGUGGGGAAUAUUGCACAAUGGGCUCAAGCCUGAUUCAGCCAUGCCGCGUGGAUGAAGAAGGCCUUCGGGUUGUAAAGUACGUUCAGCGAGGAGGCGUUACUCGCAGAAGAAGCACCGGCUAACUCCGGGCCAGCAGCCGCGGUAAUUC
rnacentral:rRNA from 1 species